AUGGAGAAAAUAAAUGUGGCUCAAUUGCCGUGUUGUUUUAUUGCUCAUUGUAAUGGAUCUCGUCCUCCUCUUCUGAGGAGUAACGAGAAGGAUCGGAGGACCAAAACGCAGCGUGGAAACAACGGACAAUUCAGGGGGUGUUCCAGAAGAGGAAGGAAUAGAGAAUCUAAUUGUUUCCACAACAUAUACUGGGGAAACGCAUGAAGUUGCACCCUGUUGGGGAAUAAUCAGAAUUGGUGGGUAACAUAGGUAAGAUGUUUUAUAUUCAUCAUAUGUUUGUAAGUUACUUCUCAUCAGAAUGGUAUUUUUGUAUAAUACUGUGACGAGGUUGCAGUUAUCUGUUCUAUGUCAAGACUAAGUUGCAUGGGCCGCAGAGAGGGGAGAGGUCAAGGGGUCAUCAUGUGUAAACAUAUCUUUUGCUCCACUGUGUCUGUGCCAGUCACUCCCUACUUUUCCCAUCGGGGAAAGGAGGAUGGCAGUGUCUGGAAUCAUUCUAUGCUCCCUCUUUGUUGACCUAUAGGGUAAUCCUGAAGGAGCUGCAAAGCUCCACAGCAGAGAUUGGAGUAUCUGUCCAUAGGACCACUUUAAGCUGUACACUCCACAAAGCUGGGCAUUACGGAAGAGUGGCCGGAAAAAAAGCCAUUGCUUAAAGGAAAAAUUUGCAAACAUUGUGUUCGCCAAAAGGUAUGUGGGAGACUCUGGUAAGAUGAGACUAAAUUGAGAUUUUGUCCAUAAAAAAAACGCUAUGUCUGGUGCAAACCCAACACCUCUCAUCACCCCGAGAACACCAUCCCCACAGUGAAGCAUGGUGGUGGCAGCAUCAUGCUCUGGGGAUGUUUUUCAUCGGCAGGGACUGGGUAACUGGUCAGAAUUGAAGGAAUGGUGGUUGGCGCUAAAUACAGGGGAUUUCUUGAUGGAGACCUGUUUCAGUCUUCCAGAGAUUUGAGACUGGGUCACUCUCCUCUCCGUGAGUUUGUCCAGGAUUGGUUGUAUUUAGAAUUGGUUGUAUCUAAAUGACAAUUUGAUAUACAUCAUAGGGUGGGGGUAAUGUCUUGGUACCAUUUUGUACCAAGGACGAGAUAAGAGCUUUGUUUAGGAGACCAAACUGAACGAUAAUUUAUAGCCAACUCUGUCUGACUAGGGGAUAUUCCUCUGAAGUAAAGUCUUUCUUUGUGUAAGUUCCUAAGACCUGUGUUUUGUCAUGUCGUCUAGGGAGGGGGUGGAUCUUUGCUAUAAAGGAACCCAUUUGCCAUUAUGUUGGGGACUCUCAACUUUUCAUUAGAGAUACUGAACUGUUGAAAGUCAAAAUGCUAUUGCAAAAGCUUAAUUAUUAUUAAAGGUGAAGAUUAAGCAUAACUCUGACUCGUGUGUGAUUUGCUCUCUCAUCAUUUGGUAAUUAAGGAAAUUUCCACGGCAACCCUCCAUUGAUGAUGCCUCCAGAAUCUUGUCAGAUAAUGGAAGUGUUUUAGGCGAUGAUAAAGAGCAAAAGGAGGAAAGUCUUGUUCAGAUCAGCACAGAGGAGCUGCCUAAAACCCUUGAGGUCAAAAUGUAUGAACAACAGCCAGAGGAGGAAGGUUCGGGUGAGGCUUCACAAAGUGAAUCAGAAAGACCAGAUGUUGUAUCUGAGGAUGCUGAGGAAGAGGCCUUGUUGGAGAUGAUAUUGAUAAGAUCCUUCAAAGAUACAAGGAGAAGCUGGCCAGGAGAACAAGGUUAGACCUGUAGAGCUCCAGCAAGAGGACGAUGAGAAGGAGACGGGACACAACUGAGCAACAGGAGGACGCAGUGGAGUACAGGGAAACUGAACUAAAAGGAUUUGGCAAAUAGGAUACAGACCAAGCUGAUGACAACCCAGAGCACAUGCCAGAAGGACAAAUAAAGGACAUUGUGGACAAGACUUAUGACCAGGUAAAGAUAAAUGUUUUGCUGAUUUUUGGGAGGAAUUUUUAUGUACAGUAAAGUCAUUUACCCACUGUCAUUCAGUAUUUCAUUUAUCCAUUGCAGGUUUUAUAUAUUGACACAGGUCAGUUUGGAUUGGUCAUAAUGGCUAGAUUGUCAUUGGGAAAAUCCAUGUAGCAAGCAGACAUUUUAUUGUUGCAAAAUAUAUCACUUUGAUUAUACAGUGUACGUAUAAGUUUGGUCUGCAGUAUAA
rnacentral:lncRNA from 1 species